UACGAGGGGGGCGAGCGUUGUUCGGAAUUAUUGGGCGUAAAGGGUGCGUAGGCGGUUUGGUAAGUCCGAUGUGAAAUCUAUGGGCUCAACUCAUAGUCUGCAUCGGAAACUGCCGGGCUUGAGUGUGGGAGAGGUGAGUGGAAUUCCUGGUGUAGCGGUGAAAUGCGUAGAUAUCAGGAGGAACACCUGUGGCGAAAGCGGCUCACUGGACCAUAACUGACGCUGAUGCACGAAAGCUAGGGGAGCAAACAGG
rnacentral:rRNA from 1 species